GAUGAAGAACGCAGCGAAAUGCGAUACUUGGUGUGAAUUGCAGAAUCCCGUGAACCAUCGAGUCUUUGAACGCAAGUUGCGCCCGAAGCCAUUAGGCCGAGGGCACGCCUGCCUGGGCGUCACACGUCGUUGCCCCCCCAUCUACUCCUUCGGGAUUGCGGGGGGCGGAUGAUGACCUCCCGUGCGCCUCGUCGCGCGGUUGGCAUAAAUGCCAAGUCCUCGGCGACGCACGCCACGACAAUCGGUGGUUGCGAAACCUCGGUUGCCCGUCGUGUGCGGUCGUCGCGCAUCGAGGGCUCGAAAAAAUUGCCGGGCUCCGGCUCGGCUUUCAACGCGACCCCAGGUCAGGCGGGGUUACCCGCUGAAUUUAAGCAUAUCAAUAAGCGGAGGA
rnacentral:misc_RNA from 1 species